rnacentral:rRNA from 1 species
UACGGGGGGGGCAAGCGUUGUUCGGAAUUACUGGGCGUAAAGGGCUCGUAGGUGGCCAACUAAGUCAGACGUGAAAUCCCUCGGCUUAACCGGGGAACUGCGUCUGAUACUGGAUGGCUUGAGUUCUGGAGAGGAAGGCGGAAUUCUCGGUGUAGAGGUGAAAUUCGUAGAUAUCGAGAGGAACACCGGUGGCGAAGGCGGCCUUCUGGACAGCAACUGACGCUGAGACGCGAAAGCGUGGGGAGCAAACAGG